rnacentral:rRNA from 1 species
UGAGGAAUAUUGGUCAAUGGACGAGAGUCUGAACCAGCCAAGUAGCGUGCAGGAUGACGGCCCUCCGGGUUGUAAACCGCUUUUAGUUGGGAAUAAAAAAGGUGACGUGUCAUCUAUUGUAUGUACCAUCAGAAAAAGGACCGGCUAAUUCCGUGCCAGCAGCCGCGGUAAUACGGAAGGUCCAGGCGUUAUCCGGAUUUAUUGGGUUUAAAGGGAGCGUAGGCCGUCUUUUAAGCGUGUUGUGAAAUGCCGCGGCUCAACCGUGGCACUGCAGCGCGAACUGGAGGACUUGAGUGCGCAGGAGGUAGGCGGAAUUCGUGGUGUAGCGGUGAAAUGCUUAGAUAUCACGAAGAACCCCGAUUGCGAAGGCAGCUUACCGUAGCGUUACUGACGCUGAAGCUCGAAAGUGCGGGGUAUCGAACAGGGAUUAGAUACCCUGGUAGU